rnacentral:rRNA from 1 species
GACGAACGCUGGCGGCGUGCCUAAUACAUGCAAGUUGAGCGCUGAAGGUUGGUACUUGUACCGACUGGAUGAGCAGCGAACGGGUGAGUAACGCGUGGGGAAUCUGCCUUUGAGCGGGGGACAACAUUUGGAAACGAAUGCUAAUACCGCAUAAAAACUUUAAACACAAGUUUUAAGUUUGAAAGAUGCAAUUGCAUCACUCAAAGAUGAUCCCGCGUUGUAUUAGCUAGUUGGUGAGGUAAAGGCUCACCAAGGCGAUGAUACAUAGCCGACCUGAGAGGGUGAUCGGCCACAUUGGGACUGAGACACGGCCCAAACUCCUACGGGAGGCAGCAGUAGGGAAUCUUCGGCAAUGGACGAAAGUCUGACCGAGCAACGCCGCGUGAGUGAAGAAGGUUUUCGGAUCGGAAAACUCUGUUGGUAGAGAAGAACGUUGGUGAGAGUGGAAAGCUCAUCAAGUGACGGUAACUACCCAGAAAGGGACGGCUAACUACGUG